CGAGUACUCCUUCCGUUCCAAAUUACUUGUCGCAAAUAUGGAUGUAUCUAGAUGUAUUUUAGUUCUAGAUACAUCCAUUUCUGCGAUGAGUAAUUUGGAACGGAGGGAGUACAUG
rnacentral:pre_miRNA from 1 species